GUCGUAAGGCUGGUGCUCAUCCUAGAAUGUUGGACAGCAGCGUUGAGCUAACCAACUACUGUCCUCCUGACACUGUUGAGACUUUCCUUGAAGAGCUAAACCACUCACAGGGUGAUGACUUGGAUGAUCAGGAAACGGCACCAGCACCACCACGGGCCUCUUCAGACUGGUCUACUCGAAAAAGUCUCCUCUCAGAGAGGUGGGAGAAAGAAAGAGCCUGUCUGGUGAAUACCAUGGUAGCACAACAAAAUGUGACAACUCAGAUCUGCCAACAAUGUGGCAUCAGUCCAGCUGCUGUCCGUUGUCGUGACUGCAGACCACAACCAUUUUUCUGUGCUGAUUGUGAUGUCAGUAUACACCGAAACCACGUAUUCCACAACAGGGAUGCAACAAUAGCUGGAUUCUUUCAGCCAUUGCCUCCAACAACCUGUGUCGUGGAGAGGGCUCUUUCCCAGUGUGUGUGUAUUGUGCCGUUGGAGAUGCCCAAAAAAAUAUGUAGUUGUUCUCCAGGAUCGUUGAGUGUCAACACAGGAAAAGUUGUUGCUGUGGUUACAAUGAAUGAUUGGGAAGAUCACAGCAGACAGCUUCAGAAAAAGUUUUUUGGAGUGGGAGGCUGUUAGAUUUGAGGUGGAUAAGAUCUGCAGGGAGGAGCAUUUUGUCUGCCCUGCAUGCACCCCAGACAUGCUUGCUGUUUCUGUGGAUGGAAAUCGCAAGCACUACCGCUUUAAGAAUGCAGCAAGAUCUGAAGAAAAAGCCUUAUUUGAUGGCAUCUUCAUUGCAAAAGAUGAUGAAGUAGAGAGAUUUGUGGAUUACAUUCAUUCUACCACCAACCAUGUCUCUGGAAGAGGUGUCUGUGGAGGGGAGUGGUCAGCUGCAAGGGAAACGUCUCAGAAAUCCUCAAGUAAAAUUGAUGAGGAGGGACUUGAGCUUGCAGUCUGUCGACAUGGAGUUUUUCUCACCGCUCUCAACAUGUUCAGGGGAGAAAUAUAUGCUUAUCCCCUCUACCUGCAGAACAAGCUGGCAAAUACGCCAAUAAGCUUUUUUGCCAUGGAUGUAACCUGCAAGUACUGGCCUUACCUCAACAAAGUCACAAAAAGCUGCCCGGAGCUCCAGCACCUUCUGAGCAUGAAACCAUUCCUCUCAGUGUUUCAUGCCAAAGCCCAUGAUUUUAAAUGCGAGGUUAAAUGGAGUGGAGCUUACCAGCAAGGGGCCGGAUUGACACUUGGCGAGGAGGUUGAGCAGUGUAACGCCUUCCUCUCUAGGAUUGCUGUGACCACGAAGCACAUGUCCAAAGCAGGACGUACUGACAUGCUUACAUUGAUGGCCAUGCGCUGGAAUCAGCAAAAGUUUAAUAACUUGGCUACUUCACUUGCCUGCCGAUAUCAGAAGGCCACAAAACGUCUGGAAAGCCAACUUCAGGACCUGGAAAGCAUGAGAAUCCAGCUGGCAGUGACACAGGUUGAAGUUGAGGGCUGGGUCACUGAUAUUAAGGAGUGGGCAGAAGCAACAACAUCCCAAAAGAAUGCCGAUCUUGACGCAGUGAUCAAUAGAAUAGAGGUGCUGGUGGCCAGCAUUAAAAGAAGGUCCCAGCGCCUUUACAAAGACACCGAUGGCAGCAAAGGUCGGGCCCGGAUCCGGCGCAAAAUCAGAGAGGAGAAGGCCAUUCUUAGCUCUGUUGUUGAAAAAUACAACAGUAUGGUUCCAGAUACAGAAAGAAUCGCCUUUGACAUCAUUCUCUCUGACGAGACAGUUUGGCCAUGGCAACUUUCACAUGGUGACGCUGUAGAUCUGAAAAUCAAGAGGAAUGCGUUUGAUGUUGUGAUGGCUAUAAGGAGACUUGAGGAGGAGAAGAAGAUUGUUCUUUCUGAGAUGGCAAAGCAUUGGAAAUCUCUCUCCACUCGUGCAGACACACUCAAGGAGAUGUCAUGCCAGCUUUCCAGUGAGCUGUGGGAUCUAAAUGAAGAAGGGAUCAAGGGUUUCCUCAGCUUAACUUUGAGAAAGAAGCAAGAAGUCACCAGAAUGAUGAAGCAUGCAAGAGACUGUUAUGCUAAAGUUUUGACUGGAACAAGUAUGGACUUCCAGAAUGAUUGGGAUGGAUACGACAGUGACUCUGAAUUGUCAGAUGAGUUUUAUGAGCUCUCAAGUGAGAAAUGAGCAUUAAGUCAUUUUUGUUGCAGAGUUUCCUUUUUAUGUUUUAUUUUGUUUAUUUUUUCUCCCACUCUAACAAUGCAGCCCUAUUUCUGAUACCGUAGGGGGUCAGAAAUGUUGCUGUGGGGGGCCACCACGGUCAAAUCAACAUGGAGGAAACACUGUUUGUGUGUCAGAUAUGCUUGAAUAAUAGUAUUCAUCAUAUCUACAUGUGACAUUACAACAAUAAUGAAUGUAAUUAAUUUAAGUAACUGUUUUUCCAAUAGUAAUCUUCUGUUUAUGGUAGAACAAAACUGUGCGGAAAAGUUUGCAGGAAGGUGUAAAUAUGUGCAUUGUAAUAAUAAUAAUAAACAUAAU
ensembl:lncRNA